AUUGAACGCUGGCGGCAGGCCUAACACAUGCAAGUCGAGCGGUAGAGAGGUGCUUGCAUCUCUUGAGAGCGGCGGACGGGUGAGUAAUGCCUAGGAAUCUGCCUAGUGGUGGGGGAUAACGUUCGGAAACGGACGCUAAUACCGCAUACGUCCUACGGGAGAAAGCGGGGGAUCUUCGGACCUCGCGCCAUUAGAUGAGCCUAGGUCGGAUUAGCUAGUUGGUGAGGUAAUGGCUCACCAAGGCGACGAUCCGUAACUGGUCUGAGAGGAUGAUCAGUCACACUGGAACUGAGACACGGUCCAGACUCCUACGGGAGGCAGCAGUGGGGAAUAUUGGACAAUGGGCGAAGCCUGAUCCAGCCAUGCCGCGUGUGUGAAGAAGGUCUUCGGAUUGUAAAGCACUUUAAGUUGGGUAGGAAGGGUAGGUAACCUAAUACGUUGCUACUUUGACGUUACCGACAGAUAAGCACCGGCUAACUUCGUG
rnacentral:rRNA from 1 species